AUUAAGGUCAUACGCAAAAGCUGCAAGAAGAAUUUUCUUAGAAAACUGGCUAUGGGACAUAUAUCAUGUUCCUAAAAGGUAUCAGCUAGAGUUGAUACUACCUGAUUUUCUAACCACCUGGGAAAUUCAAGCCAUUGAUGUUUCAAAUAAAGGUCUGUGUGUGGCCGAUGUGCUGCAGUUGCAGGUGUACAGAGAUGACUUCCUGGCUAUAGACAACAAUGUUACAAGAGUCCAUUGAAAGGGACAGUCUCCAAAAUGAAAACUGCGGGAACUUGACUCUCAACUCAGAAAUGAUGGUUGGAGCUCCAGCAGCCAUCUUGGACCAUGAGGUAACCCUGAAGAUGAAAGCUAGAAUGGUGGAACAAAAUGAUAAUAGCCCCUGCUUUUGAUGACAUGUGGAGCUGCCAUUCCAGCCUUGGCCUUCUUUUAUUUGUGAGAGAAAUAAAUGUUUAUCUCAUUUAGGCAAAAAUUAUUUUAGUUGUUUAUUAUACACAGCAAUACCUAAUUCUUUUUUUUUGUUUAAGAACUUUUAUUGAG